GGGCGAAAACUUUACAAUGCUGGCAACAGCGAUAAGGGAACCUCGAGUGCCAGGUUACAAAUCUGGCUGUCGAGAUGCCUAAAAAGCAUUUCAUAGCAAGGGCCGGGCAAGACCGGUGCCAGCCGCCGCGGUAACACCGGCGGCUCGAGUGGUAACCGUUAUUAUUGGGUCUAAAGGGUCUGUAGCCGGCCGGAUAAGUCUCUUGAGAAAUCUGGCAGCUUAACUGUCAGGCUUUCAGGAGAUACUGUCUGGCUCGAGGCCGGGAGAGGUGAGAGGUACUUCAGGGGUAGGGUGAAAUCUUGUAAUCCUUGAAGGCCACCAGUGGCGAAGGCGUCUCACCAGAACGGACCUGACGGCAAGGGACGAAAGCUAGGGGCACGAACCGGAUUAGAAACCCGUG
rnacentral:rRNA from 1 species